rnacentral:rRNA from 1 species
AUAAAGGCUCACCAAGGCUACGAUGUUUAGGGGGUCUGAGAGGAUGAUCCCCCACACUGGUACUGAGACACGGACCAGACUCCUACGGGAGGCAGCAGUAGGGAAUAUUGGGCAAUGGGCGCAAGCCUGACCCAGCCAUGCCGCGUGCAGGAUGACAGCCUUACGGGUUGUAAACUGCUUUUAUACGGGAAAAAACCCUCUGACGUGUCAGAGGCUGAUGGUACCGUAAGAAUAAGCAUCGGCUAACUCCGUGCCAGCAGCCGCGGUAAUACGGAGGAUGCAAGCGUUAUCCGGAUUUACUGGGUUUAAAGGGUGCGCAGGCGGAACGACAAGUCAGUGGUGAAAUCUCCUGGCUUAACCAGGAAACUGCCAUUGAUACUAUCGUUCUUGAGUCCAGUUGAAGUAGGCGGAAUGUAGCAUGUAGCGGUGAAAUGCUUAGAUAUGCUACAGAACACCGAUAGCGAAGGCAGCUUACUAAACUGAAACUGACGCUCAUGCACGAAAGCGUGGGGAGCAAACAGGAUCAGAUACCCUGGUAGUCCACGCCCUAAACGAUGAUCACUCGUUGUUGGCAAUUAUAUCGUCAGCGACUAAGCGAAAGCAUUA